UGUAGUUUCAAAGGGGAUGAUACUUUC
rnacentral:piRNA from 1 species